UUUCCCAGUUCCCCUUUUCCACCGCCGCCGCCGCCGCCGCCGCCACAGGAGGAGAAGAAGCAGCAGGCGCGCCGAGGCGAGCUCGCGAGGAGGCGACCAUGAGGGCCAAGUGGAAGAAGAAGCGCAUGAGGAGGCUGAAGAGGAAGCGCCGAAAGAUGAGGCAGAGAUCUAAGUAGGCGAUGGAGAUGGGCGGUGAUGGUGCUGGCGUGUCACAGUGAACUGAUGUCUUCGGCUGCCUAGCUCGUCGAUGUCUGCUUGGCAUGGUGUCACCAUUUUGCCUGUUGAAUAUGGCUUAUUUCAGAAAACCUGUCAUGUUAUCCUAUGUCGUUGCUCUAGUUCUAUCAAGAGUUUUGCACCGAGACAUGUUUAGUCGGUUAUGUGAACUUGCUAUGGAGCCUUGUUUGCAGCUAAUAUUUACCAACCGUUUGAGUAAUAGCUCUGUUGGUUUUGUGGUACUA